AGUGAACGCUGGCGGUAGGCCUAACACAUGCAAGUCGAACGGCAGCACAGUAAGAUCUUGCUCUUACUUGUGUCGAGUUGCUUACUGGUUAGGAAUACAUCUGAAUCUACUUUUUCUUGUUGGAUAACGUAUGGAAACUUACGCUAAUACCGCAUACGACCUACUGGUGUAAGCAUGGGAUCUUCUGACCUUGCGCGAUUUAAUGAGCCGAUUUCUGAUUAGCUAGUUGGCUGGUUAAAGUCCCACCAAGUCGACGAUCCGUAGCUGGUCUGAGAGGAUGAUAAGACACACUGGAAAUGAGACACGGUCAAGACUCAUACGGGAGGAAGCAGUGGGGAAUAUUGGACAAUGGGCGCAAGACUGAUCCAGCCAUACCGCGUGGGUGAAGAAGGCAUUCGGGUUGUAAAGCCCUUUUGUUGGGAAAGAAAAGCAGCAGGUUAAUAACCAGCUGUUAUGACGGUACCAAAAGAAUAAGCAACGGCUAACUUCGUG
rnacentral:rRNA from 1 species